UCCGCCCCUUCCCCGAGGACCCGCAUCCCCGAGCAUGCGCAGUUCGGGGUAAAAUGAAUGCCGGAGAGAGAGGCGGCAGCGGAUGAGCCUUGCUGUCUGCGUUUCCUCGCCUCACACUCACCCUCCGCUGGGAUCGAGCAGCUGUUAGCGCCGGGCAAGGUUGGGGUGCGGAGGAAGCCCCCGCCCCGCGGAGCCGCGGCGAUGGAGGAGCUGGGCCCGGACGUGGUGAAGGUGACGGUGGGGGGCAGCCCGGAGCGGGGGGCCGG